rnacentral:rRNA from 1 species
GAUGAACGCUGGCGGCGUGCCUAAUACAUGCAAGUCGAGCGAACAGAUGAGGAGCUUGCUCCUCUGACGUUAGCGGCGGACGGGUGAGUAACACGUGGAUAACCUACCUAUAAGACUGGGAUAACUUCGGGAAACCGGAGCUAAUACCGGAUAAUAUAUUGAACCGCAUGGUUCAAUAGUGAAAGACGGUUUUGCUGUCACUUAUAGAUGGAUCCGCGCCGCAUUAGCUAGUUGGUAAGGUAACGGCUUACCAAGGCAACGAUGCGUAGCCGACCUGAGAGGGUGAUCGGCCACACUGGAACUGAGACACGGUCCAGACUCCUACGGGAGGCAGCAGAAGGGAAUCUUCCGCAAUGGGCGAAAGCCUGACGGAGCAACGCCGCGUGAGUGAUGAAGGUCUUCGGAUCGUAAAACUCUGUUAUUAGGGAAGAACAAAUGUGUAAGUAACUAUGCACGUCUUGACGGUACCUAAUCAGAAAGCCACGGCUAACUACGUG